GACGAACGCUGGCGGCGUGCUUAACACAUGCAAGUCGAACGGAAAGGCCCUGCUUUUGUGGGGUGCUCGAGUGGCGAACGGGUGAGUAACACGUGAGUAACCUGCCCUUGACUGUGGGAUAACUUCAGGAAACUGGGGCUAAUACCGGAUAGGAGCUCCUGCUGCAUGGUGGGGGUUGGAAAGUUUCGGCGGUUGGGGAUGGACUCGCGGCUUAUCAGCUUGUUGGUGGGGUAGUGGCUUACCAAGGCUUUGCCGGGUAGCCGGCCUGAGAGGGUGACCGGCCACAUUGGGACUGAGAUACGGCCCAGCCUCCUCCGGGAGGCAGCAGUGGGGAAUAUUGCACAAUGGGCGGAAGCCUGAUGCAGCAACGCCGCGUGCGGGAUGACGGCCUUCGGGUUGUAAACCGCUUUCGCCUGUGACGAAGCGUGAGUGACGGUAAUGGGUAAAGAAGCACCGGCUAACUACGUG
rnacentral:rRNA from 1 species